UUUUCUAUAUAAGUUUGUCAGACCGGUGAAUUGUUUGAUAUUUGUGACGGUUGGUAGAAUAACUCUGUUUUGGCGUUUAUUGAAGAAUUUAUUUCUAAAACGUAGUAAUUUUUCCAUUUUUUGAUCUUGUUUUUUCACCGAGUCUUCUCCGAUAACGUGGCCAAGGAAAUCGACGUUUUUCUGAAAUAGUUUAGUUUUGCUCGGGUUUAGCGUCAUAUUCGCCUCGUUGAUUCGCCGAAAUACUUCUUCGAGCAGUUGGACGUGCUCUUCGAAUGUCUCAGUUUCAAUCAAGAAUUCAUCAACGAACAUUUUCACUGGAAGGCCGUAAAACAUUCUUCGUCUGCGAUCAAUGAAUUCGCCCAUAGCGACGACAGUACCAAAUGGAUCUACAUUCCAUUCCCAGAUUUCACCGUCCAUCUUAAAUCCGGUGUACUUUUUCGAGUUUUCGUCGAGUGGAUCUUGCCAGAAUCCAGAGCUAAAAUCGCCCGUUGAUCGAUAGACUUUCUUUUUACCAUCAUGAACCAAACGUUCCGAAUUUGGUGGUUCAUUGUAGUUUGGAAUUAGAUAUUUGUUCAGUUCUUCUGGAUCUAGACAGAUACGAAGCGAGCCGUUGGAUUUGCUUUCACUUUUUCGCGCAUAUGAACGCUUGGGAUAUAAUUUCUACCAUUAAAGUUGGGGACUUUAUCAACGUUGAACUUGAAUACCACUGGAUCACCAUUGUAACGACCAAUUUCGUCACGAAAUAUACGAGAGUGCGGAUUUAAACGUUGGAAAGCGAUUUGUUGUUGUUCGUUUGAUAGCUGAAUAUUUCUAUCAUUUCGUAGGAGCUUUUUACGAAGAAUUUCACCGGUAUCUUUCGCAGAAUUACGAAAUCAAUGUAUUCUAUCACGCCACCACGUUCACAUUUUGCUCUCAUUGGACCAAACUCAGUAUCUAUAUUGUUGUCUUUCAUAGCAUGGCGACCGAUAAGAAUUUUGCCUGGUUCGAAAGCAACGUGAUUUGGAUGAUUUCUAUGCAGCAUGAAAAGUGUGCCCUGAUCAAUGACGUUUGCGUCAGCACCGGAAUCAAGUAAAACGACGCAGUCUUCAGUCUCAAUUUUCAACGGAAUAGCACUUGUAUUUUGCGGAUGUUUAGGAUGUUGAUAGAGUACUAGCUGUUGGUUGGAGUGAACAUUAUAUAGAUCGUAUGUCAACUCCAUUUCAUCUUCGAUACUCAGAUUAGCUGGUUCACCGUUCGGAUGCUGCUCAGUGAUUGGUUCGCAGAUUUCGAUUUUUUCGUCGUUGUUUUUGCAUGUUUGGAUAAUUUUUGGUUUUCUUAUUGGUGAAAGUUUUUUCUUUGAUGGCGAGAAUACUUUUCUACGUAAUAUUGGCGGUGAUUUUACACGAAUUGGCGAUUUUUUUAGAGUAAUUCGCGCUACGGAUUCAGGUUCAGACUGGAUCAUAUUGUAUUUCUGCAAUAUUUCUUCGAACUGGCAUCGUAAUAUUUUACUGUUAUCAUCUCUAGGUAAGAAAUCAUGUAAUUUAUUACUAUAGAAGAAUUUCCCUUUUAUAACAUUAAUAACUCCAGAUCUAUUUGUUCUCAUUCGAUGCCCAGUUGUUACGAUAAAAUGCUUCGAUAGUUCAGUGA